rnacentral:lncRNA from 1 species
UUGGGGUUGUGUUUCUUCCUCCAAGCUGAAUAAGUUCUGGGCAGGUUAAGUAGACCAAACCUAGCUAAUUAAACUGAGAUUAUCAUAUAUUUCCUAUAGAAUAUUGAGGUCUUCUUUGAGAGAAAAAAAAGUUGAAAAGAGCAAAUUUCUUGCUGCUAGCAGAGAAAGUGGAAUAAAGGUAAAAUAUUUCAAUUUUUUAUUAUGUUGG